AAGUCGUAACAAGGUUUCCGUAGGUGAACCUGCGGAAGGAUCAUUAACACGAACUAUUUAUUUAUCCAAUAACAAAACCAAACGUGAACUUUUCCCCUCCCUAUAUAUAUAUAACUAAUCAUUAUGUAUAUAUAGGCUAACCGCAAAACUAAAUUUUAACCUUUUUAGUUUUGCCUUUUAUUUUUAAUAUUUUAACCCCUUUAAACUUAACUAAGUUCGCGGUCGAAAGGCGGAACUUUACUAAUUAUUUCUAUAUAUGUAAUGUGUAUAGAUAAUUUUAUGAAAUUAUUAAGAACAACUCUUAACAAUGGAUAUCUUGGUUCUC
rnacentral:misc_RNA from 1 species